rnacentral:rRNA from 2 species
GACUUGUGUGCAUGGGAACUCGCGGUCUUCGUCCAAAAGGGCGUUACGACAUGCGGUUCCUGUGCCGUAAAAUCUUCAACUGGAUCGCACCUGGUCUUGAUUGACUGGGAGCUGUCAUUCGGUUGAUCGUUUACUGUGAGAAAAUUAGAGUGUUCAAGGCAGGCAUAAUUGCAAUUGAAUAUGUUAGCAUGGAAUAAUAAGAUAAGGCUUCUGCUUUAUUUUUUUGGUUUCUAGAGUGGAAGUAAUGAUUGAUAGGGAUAGUUGGGGGUGCUAGUAUUCAGCGGCCAGAGGUGAAAUUCAUGGAUUCGCUGAAGACUAACUUAUGCGAAAGCAUU